rnacentral:lncRNA from 1 species
AAAAAACGCAUAAAAAAAAGAAAAAAGUAGUUACUUGAUAUGAUUUAAGAAGCUUUUGUAUGAUAGUUGGUCUUAAUUCUUAUAAUGACGGUCAAAACCCUGAGUUGACAUAAAUCUGGAAAGUGCAUUUCAAAUGGAUAGUGGCUAUAUUUUAACCUCAUCUACAACAGGACAGACAGACAAACACACUAUAAAGUAAUGCCCC